GGCUGGAGCGAGUGCAGUGGUG
rnacentral:miRNA from 1 species